CUCUCGGUAGCCAAGUUGGUUUAAGGCGCAAGACUGUAAUGGUAACAAGACAUCUUGAGAUCGGGCGUUCGACUCGCCCCCGGGAGA
rnacentral:tRNA from 1 species